UCGUGCGUGCCGCGGAACCCGUAUGUGGCUUCGGCCCGAGGCACGGCCGCCAUUUUGUCUCCCCAUGUUUGGAGUUGAUGGUCCGAGCCCAGCGACCUAACUGCUUCCCUGUGGCCACGGGCCUCGCGCGGCGAGCCCGCGGCAGCGUCGCACCCGGCCUGCCGCACCGGGGAGAAGCCCCCGCAGACCCCAGGCGGCGGGUACACUCCUAACUUCAAAGCCCGGCGUCAGGCCCAGGGCCUGAGGCAAAAGCCACGGCAGCUGGCCGAGGGGGUUGGCAGCUUCCACCGCCGCAGAUAGUGCUGAACGGGGCCGGCCGGCUGCCUUGGGGGAUACUUUUCGUACUAGUUCCUCCGGGUAAGGCGGCCGGGCACCGAUGCCGUUUUCUACAGAACCUGGGACACGUUAAACGUGGCAGGGCAACAACGUUACAAACACCCUCAGAUUCUUCACCCCUCUGCAGAGUGCCUCCUGGUACCUUUUUAAAGUCCGCGUUUGCAACCUGAGGAGGAGUCCCGCUCUCCCAGCACAGCUGAAAGCCGCUGAGCCUCUCAGACCGCCACCUGCUAGUCGACCUUGGGCUCGCCCUUGGCCGCGCCCCUACCUCGGUUGGGGGGGGGGGGCGUCUCGCACCCUCACGAGGUCCCGUAAUCAACUGCCGCCCCUUUGACUUUGGGGCUUUGUAUUUGAUUUUACCAAAUACCCGUCUCAGGAGCUGGACCAGGAAAGCCCCGCGGUUUCGGGUGGGAGCGGUGGCCCCGGGCGCUGUUCUAAACCCGCUGCCUGGAACCCGGCACCUAUGGGCAAUGCUCCCGUGAGCGGAAGCACCUCUGAGCAGCCUAGGGAACAGUCUUUCUGGGCCCGAGCUGGUGUUUCUGAAGUUGAGGGUGUAGGGUGGUGGUAUCUUAAAACCCACCGCUUCCCCUGAGACUCGUUCCUACCACAAUUAUCCUUCCCUGUAUUUACCUGCUGUUUGGGGCCAAGUUCUGCAUUUGACGCUCAUGACAACCCCAUGGGUGAGGGUUCUUCUCCUUUUCCUGUGGGAAGAACGGUGAAUUCCCUGACAUCCACAGUACAGAUUUCAAAAUCAGGAAGAUAAGAUUGACACGCUACGGACUUUUCCUCCCUUGAAGAUUCCUCUUCCUUGAAGGUUUGGUCUAUUUUCUUUUUUUCGAGUACUCGAAGCGAUAACUUGAUUCCAAAAGGCAGUACCAAAAGGUGGACGGGCCUGGCCUGUGCCUUCAGCCUCCUGUUUCGUGGCCUUGUCGCAGCGCCGUGGAUGCACCCUUUCCUCUGGAGCUGAGGCCGCUGGGCCAGCGGAGCCUGAGAGGCAGAAACAAUGUUCGUGGCAGCUGGGACAGGGGACCGGGAGAAGUAAGACACUAGAAAGGAACCUGGUGAGGAAAAGCCACAGGGACCGUCCUGGUCUACAGCGUUUGGGAGCAUUGCCUCCUUGGCCGCACACCACACAGCAGCCUUCGUACAGCACGUCCUGGCCCGGAUUCAAGGAAACUUUGUCUUAAACCAGCUAUGACUCACGGCAGUCUGUGAAGUCUACCUUUGUAAACAAAGAUAAAGCAACUACGUUUUCUCCCUACCUCAUCCCUCCAGACUUUGGAAACUCCCAGUAAGUAUGCUUAUAUUUUCAUAGCAACGCAUUUGUGGAAGUCCAAUAAGAAUCUGUUCUCCUUGCAACAGGACACUAUUGGAAACACUGGUCAUAUUACCAAGGCUUUGGCUAGAAUAUCAUAUCUGAGAACGACGCGCAUAGACUGAGAUAUGACCAGACAGCGCUGAGGAACAAAGAGUGACUGUGUGGAACCAACCCUUGGAAAAAUCAGCCUGAUAACCUUGCUGGGGUUCCCAACAGCCUUAUCAUGUGAGUCAGGAAGAUUGCCUCCUGACAGGCCCAGGAACCUCACGAAGAGGGACUGCCCCCCAAAUUUAUGGGUAUUCUAGGUAAGAUCGGACAGGGAGGUGUCGGCUUGGCUUCUUAGCCUGGAGAGGCCUUUCAGAGUUCCAUCUGAGAUUCCUUAUGAAAAGUUCCAGGAAAGCAGACUUGAAAGAGCCUGGAUGGUCAGUCCCUAUUCUUGCUGCACUCACGCAAACAAGAGAGCCGAGUUUAUUGCAACUAGACUGAAUUUGCAAACAAAAUAGUCUUGCUACGGUUGUCCUUGCCACAGAUCGGGGCGAUUACAGAGAGAACAGAUCUGCUUCAGUAACACACCUUCACAGGUAUAUUCUAGCACCGCGGAUUAUCUUUGGUGUUUGUCUUCACCUAGGCUAGAUCCUGAAUUCUAGUUUCUUCCAGUAGCCGGCCACAACUCCAAACUUCCAGCAUUUCUCCCGCCCUCUGACCUGGGAUCCUUGAGACCUAAAACCGCCCAUCCCACAACCGGGCAGGCCCAAGUGGGGCGACUCGAUCCAAACUUCGGAGGGACCACCACAGCAGCUCGCGGGGGGACAGUCUUCGUGCCUGUUGCCGGUGGGCCCCUCAGGACGGUCACCAGAGACGUUCACGCCACAGACCAGGCACGUCUGCCAGGUUGCCGCUGCCCGCCCUCCCCUCACCCGAGGACAUUUUGAGCCCUAGAUGUGCACUAGUUAUCCCCUCCACGUGGCGGCACUCAGGAACGGAACGGAACAGGAACGGAGCUCAGGAACGGCAUUGUCGGCCCCAGUCUUUAACCUCUGUUGCGUCAUGUGACGCCGUCACAAGACGUAGGGACGAGGACCGGUUGGAUGAGAUAUGGAGCAACCUGCCGGCUCCGGACAGGUUCAAACCCACUGACGCCAGGUACAGGCCACUUGCAGGCCACCAGCUUGAGCGAGGGAAGCCUGAGUGAGGAAGGAGGGCCCACAGUGACCCCCUGACUGAAGACAGACCGGCGCAUUAGGCGAUCCACCUCGAAAUAUCCGUAAGCCCUAGCUGACCAGUGGAUUACUUACACCCAGAUCCGGGUGCCAAAAAAGGAAAAGUCCGCACGUUCCUGUCCCUCCUCACCUUCCCCCUUUCCUGCAGCACCCCCCCCAACUCCUGGCUGAUGGCAGCGUCUCUGCAGCCUUCCCCACUGCUCCCCUGCAGUGCAUGCAGGAAACUUCUAUGUCCUUUUUUCCACCUCAGGUGAAUUCUUUGACGGCCUCUUCUGCAGGCCCCCACUGGAUCGGGUUGCCCCCGACACUAGAUGGCCCAAGAUGUUAAAAUAUUUCGUGGCGUUACCCAAAUCCUUGAACAGAUUCCCUGAGCUGGCCCCUGAGAUGACCGACCUAUUUUCCUAGCUGGACCCUUCAAGUCUGGGACGACGGCUACAAACUAGAUUCCAGACUCUCCUCCCACCUCAAUAUUUAUAGGAUUUGUUACCGUAAUCCUGUUGAGAAGUGUACUUUCUGGAUGACAGUGUGCCCUGUCCCUGCUUGUGGCAUAUUAGCUCCCCAGGUAGUUCACAUCCUCUGACAGAGGCAUCACAGGGUGGGUGCGGCGUAAGCCCCCUCCCCCACCCCCGGCGGUUUCCAUUCUCUUUUUUCUGACGCAGGUGCCCAUUUUGAACUUUGAUCGUCAAGGCGUCCGUUUCAAAGAAGGCUAUCUCACAUGAACACAUUGCCAGCCACCCUAGGAAAAGGGCCAGGCCACCUCCCCACUCUGCUGUUUUAGAGAGUUCGGUGGACUUCUAUAGCUGACCAUUUGGGCCACUUUUUUUUUCUCUCUCUCUUCUGAAGCUUUAGAUUCCUGUUCUUAUGUUUUAAAUUCAGCAAUAAAGAAUGAGCCUGCAAAACCCUGGGCCCGCAUCCCUGAUCCCAAUAAAAGCAGAACCCCAGGCCUGUC